rnacentral:rRNA from 1 species
CUCAGGACGAACGCUGGCGGCGUGCUUAACACAUGCAAGUCGAACGAUGAAGCCCUUCGGGGUGGAUUAGUGGCGAACGGGUGAGUAACACGUGGGCAAUCUGCCCUGCACUCUGGGACAAGCCCUGGAAACGGGGUCUAAUACCGGAUACUGAUCGCCUUGGGCAUCCUUGGUGAUCGAAAGCUCCGGCGGUGCAGGAUGAGCCCGCGGCCUAUCAGCUUGUUGGUGAGGUAAUGGCUCACCAAGGCGACGACGGGUAGCCGGCCUGAGAGGGCGACCGGCCACACUGGGACUGAGACACGGCCCAGACUCCUACGGGAGGCAGCAGUGGGGAAUAUUGCACAAUGGGCGAAAGCCUGAUGCAGCGACGCCGCGUGAGG